GAUGAACGCUGGCGGCGUGCCUAAUACAUGCAAGUCGAGCGAACGGACGAGAAGCUUGCUUCUCUGAUGUUAGCGGCGGACGGGUGAGUAACACGUGGAUAACCUACCUAUAAGACUGGGAUAACUUCGGGAAACCGGAGCUAAUACCGGAUAAUAUUUUGAACCGCAUGGUUCAAAAGUGAAAGACGGUCUUGCUGUCACUUAUAGAUGGAUCCGCGCUGCAUUAGCUAGUUGGUAAGGUAACGGCUUACCAAGGCAACGAUGCAUAGCCGACCUGAGAGGGUGAUCGGCCACACUGGAACUGAGACACGGUCCAGACUCCUACGGGAGGCAGCAGUAGGGAAUCUUCCGCAAUGGGCGAAAGCCUGACGGAGCAACGCCGCGUGAGUGAUGAAGGUCUUCGGAUCGUAAAACUCUGUUAUUAGGGAAGAACAUAUGUGUAAGUAACUGUGCACAUCUUGACGGUACCUAAUCAGAAAGCCACGGCUAACUACGUGCCAGCAGCCGCGGUAAUACGUAGGUGGCAAGCGUUAUCCGGAAUUAUUGGGCGUAAAGCGCGCGUAGGCGGUUUUUUAAGUCUGAUGUGAAAGCCCACGGCUCAACCGUGGAGGGUCAUUGGAAACUGGAAAACUUGAGUGCAGAAGAGGAAAGUGGAAUUCCAUGUGUAGCGGUGAAAUGCGCAGAGAUAUGGAGGAACACCAGCGGCGAAGGCGACUUUCUGGUCUGUAACUGACGCUGAUGUGCGAAAGCGUGGGGAUCAAACAGGAUUAGAUACCCUGGUAGUCCACGCCGUAAACGAUGAGUGCUAAGUGUUAGGGGGUUUCCGCCCCUUAGUGCUGCAGCUAACGCAUUAAGCACUCCGCCUGGGGAGUACGACCGCAAGGUUGAGACUCAAAGGAAUUGACGGGGACCCGCACAAGCGGUGGAGCAUGUGGUUUAAUUCGAAGCAACGCGAAGAACCUUACCAAAUCUUGACAUCCUUUGACAACUCUAGAGAUAGAGCCUUCCCCUUCGGGGGACAAAGUGACAGGUGGUGCAUGGUUGUCGUCAGCUCGUGUCGUGAGAUGUUGGGUUAAGUCCCGCAACGAGCGCAACCCUUAAGCUUAGUUGCCAUCAUUAAGUUGGGCACUCUAAGUUGACUGCCGGUGACAAACCGGAGGAAGGUGGGGAUGACGUCAAAUCAUCAUGCCCCUUAUGAUUUGGGCUACACACGUGCUACAAUGGACAAUACAAAGGGCAGCGAAACCGCGAGGUCAAGCAAAUCCCAUAAAGUUGUUCUCAGUUCGGAUUGUAGUCUGCAACUCGACUACAUGAAGCUGGAAUCGCUAGUAAUCGUAGAUCAGCAUGCUACGGUGAAUACGUUCCCGGGUCU
rnacentral:rRNA from 1 species